rnacentral:ncRNA from 19 species
ACAUCUGUUAGAGAUAAAGGUGGGAAUGAUAGAGUAGAUCGUUUUCAGUCUGAGUCAUACUCCAAACAGGUAGAGUAGAAAGUAAAUUCGUUAGGGUAUUUAUGGGCUGAAGGUUUAAACUUCAGCCUUUUUU